rnacentral:rRNA from 1 species
GCAGUCGAACGAAGGCCCUAGCUUGCUAGGUGUCCUUAGUGGCGCACGGGUGAGUAACACGUGGGAACAUACCUCAUAGUACGGAAUAACUGCGGGAAACUGUAGCUAAUACCGUAUAUUCCAGAAAUGGGAAAGAUUUAUCGCUAUGAGAUUGGCCCGCGCAAGAUUAGCUUGUUGGCAAGGUAACGGCUUACCAAGGCUCCGAUCUUUAGCUGGUUUGAGAGGAUGAUCAGCCACACUGGGACUGAGACACGGCCCAGACUCCUACGGGAGGCAGCAGUAGGGAAUAUUGGACAAUGGGGGAAACCCUGAUCCAGCAAUGCAGCGUGAGUGACGAAGGCCUUAGGGUUGUAAAACUCUUUCAUCGGUGAGGAUAAUGACAGUAGCCGAAGAAGAAGGACCGGCUAAUUCCGUGCCAGCAGCCGCGGUAAUACGGAAGGUCCUAGCGUUGUUCGGAAUUACUGGGCGUAAAGCGCAUGUAGGCGGAACAAAAAGUUAGAAGUGAAAUCCCUGGGCUCAACCUAGGAAUUGCUUUUAAAACUUUUGUUCUGGAAUUCAGGAGAGGAAAAUGGAAUUUCCAGUGUAGAGGUGAAAUUCGUAGAUAUUGGAAGGAACACCAGUGGCGAAGGCGAUUUUCUGGACUGAUAUUGACGCUGAGAUGCGAAGGCAUGGGUAGCAAACGGGAUUAGAUACCCCGGUAGUCCAUGCAGUAAACGAUGGGUGCUAGUCGUCGGACUUUUGUUCGGUGUCGUAGCUAACGCGUUAAGCACCCCGCCUGGGGAGUACGGUCGCAAGAUUAAAACUCAAAUAAAUUGACGGGGACCCGCACAAGCAGUGGAGCAUGUGGUUUAAUUCGACGCAACGCGAAGAACCUUACCAGCGUUUGACAUGGGAAGUGCCGGUUACAGAAUGGUAACCUUCAGUUCGGC